CGCUGCUUCUGCAAGGAGGAUAAUCCAGAUCUUCACAGACAAAUUGGCUUCAUCAUGAAACAGCUCAACUCAGUGGAGGAAGAAGGGCCAGAGUCGGACGAUGAAGAGGACGAGGAUGACAAUGAUGAAGAUUUAAUAGAGUCGGACCGAGAUAAAGAGGAAGUUCUUCAGCCAAAGCCCAGCGAGCUGUCUGGG